GUGUGUGUGUGUGUGUGUGUGUGUGUGUGCCUUACAAAAAGGUUGAUUUCAAUUUAUAAUUUAUAUUUAUAUAUGGUUACUUUCUAACCAUAUUGUCUCUGUUGUUGCGUCCUUUUGGUGAGGAAUCCUCAAUCGUGCUAUUCUGCUGUUUUAUCACUACCUUCUCAGGUAACCAAGUCCCAAAAAUGUGGAAACGUUGUCUAAACUUAAGAUCCUGAAGACCUACAGUAUGAGCAUGAUGUCAUUUCCUAUCAGAGGAAAACAAGGCUUUAACAACUUUACUUUCCACUUGAUGUAUAGGCUGUGUGUAGGCUAUAUACUGUACUGCUUUCACAUAGCCAGAACAAAGACUUUGGGACUAUAAUGCAAUAUUUCACAUUGAAAUGCAGAGGAAAUGAGAAAUGAAGAGCUGACAGGAUUGUACAUUACCUGCCUGCUGGCAUUUAUUCGAUUUCCUUGUUUUCAUUAGUACAUUUGUUCAUUUGUGUAUGAUUGUAAGAGGUUUUAAAACCUUUGGAGGGCGCUAGCUGAGUAGAUCAGGAACCUGAACGCUUCUGUUUUUUUGAACAUGAACAUAGAUAUGAAUAGAUGUAAAAGAAAGGACCCAAACCAUUUCAUAGUGCUUUUCCUCUUGACGUCACAGUUGCCUCUGCCAUUGUACAAUGGCAGAACCAGAGAUAAGCCAAAGAGAGAGCAGAGUAAGAGAAAGAAGCACUGCUUACUUUCCAGCAACUCAAAAUGCUAGCUAGCUAGUGCUUUCAUGGUGUACUCUGUGUGGCUCCUGCUAUGAGCAAGCUGCUUCUGCCACAAGAUGCGAAUGUGUUGAAAAUUCCCCCUAGCAGUUGGGUUCCAGGACCAUGACUGUAUUUGUUUUUGUAUUUUCUAAGAAAAUAAGAAAAGAAAUGGAAAACAAUUUGUAGCACUACAAUUUUUUUUGCUGCAAUGUGCGUUUUUCAAUGGAUUGGCCGUAGGUGGUAGAGGUCGCUAGCUAGAGGUUAAUACAACACACUUGGGUGUAUGUGUUAGGCCUAUUUAUUUUUAGAGAAUGUGUUUGAAACGACACCAUUUACUUCAGCUGUUUACACCAUGAUAGCAGUGCACCUUUGUUAUUUUGGUUAGUUUGACCAUAUCUGUGAAGUGGUCUUCUUCUGAACAACAUGUUGAAGGGAAAAGUGUUGGAAGCCUGAAGCUUAAAAGUGGUUUGAUUGAUUUCUCUCUGAAAUAAGCAGUGUUAAUAUUUCUAAAUUACAUUAUAUUUUGCUUGAUUACACUCACCAACAGUGCUUGUGCCUUCUUCAGAACAAACCCCCUAUGAUCAGAGUAACCCUCUUUUGUCCAAUCAGCACAAAGAGAAAACAGGUGGGCCCAUAAGACCCAGAUUUGCUACUUUUUCUGUAUUGAAGAACAAAAUACUGCAUUUCACUUUACAAUGAAUAUAUCUAAUUUCUGAAAUAUGUUUAGUUUCUCCUGUUGGUUCAGAAAACUCUUCACAAACUUAGUUUGACCAAACUAUUGAAAAACAAAAUAACCUUUUCGACGCAGAUCUGUAAGAUGUCCUUUUUGGUAAAAUGUUGGAUAUGAAGAAAUAUGCGUUAUGAUUUUAUGAUUUUCCUGAUUUUGUACUUGACUGUGUGUGUUUGUAUGAAUGUUAUAUAAAAACAAAGAUUGUUUAUUUGUGUGGCUAAUUUAUUUGAUUAAAACAUGAAUAAACAUGAAUUCCA
ensembl:lncRNA